UCCGCUGUUGACGCCAGAGAUAGUGGGGCGGCUCGGGAAGAGCCGUUACGCCCGCUAGUUGAGCAGCCGACUCAUGGGUCGGGUGGCUGCCGGCAAGACGACCUGGAACGGGGAAGGCCCUCACCCAGCUACCUUGGGCUAAUCCCGUGGCGAGCUCGCAUUGGGCGACCAUUGCAGAGCCGUCGUAACGCACGCAAAGGCGUCGGCUGCUCUCUCUCGCGAGAGGCGGCUUAAGGGACGUGCUAAACCCACCCGAUGACAAAGGGUGCCCCGGACAAUAGGUCCCGACCACCGAAGGUUCAGGGGGGCAAAGGCGCUGAGAGGAAAUGCUCAGCUCCGCCCGGUACCGAGACGACGACAGUGUGCUCACUGUCCGUCAUCGCAUUGGCCAGCAGCCGCGGUAAUUCCAGCUCCAAUAGCGUAUAUUUAAGUUGCUGCAGUUAAAAAGCUCGUAGUUGGAUUUCGGAUGGGUACCGUCGGUCCGCCUCACGGUGUGUUACUGGCGGCGCCCAUCUUGCUGUCGGGGACGGGCUCCUGGGCUUAACUGUCCGGGACCCGGAGUCGACGAGGUUACUUUGAGUAAAUUAGAGUGUUCAAAGCAGGCCUACGCUCUGAAUACAUUAGCAUGGAAUAACACGAUAGGACUCUGGCCUAUCUUGUUGGUCUGUAGGACCGGAGUAAUG
rnacentral:rRNA from 1 species